rnacentral:tRNA from 1 species
CGGGACGUGGCGCAGCUUGGUAGCGCAUCUGCUUUGGGAGCAGAGGGUCGCAGGUUCAAAUCCUGUCGUCCCGACAA